UUUUUAUUUUCAAACAAUCCACUUUAAAACUCUGCCGCUUACAAAAUAUUUGGAAGGGCUAGAUGUACAAGCUUCAGACUGAGGCUCCAGGGUUAACCCAGAAUAAUCAACAGAAAAUUUAGUUACUAGGUGACCUCAGGUGGAACUUUGGGAGGCCAUAGCUAUUAGUGUUGACUGCAGGGAUUCCAUCACUUCUAUGAGAUAUAGCUACCUCCAUAAAAUCUAUUUUGUGACAUUCGUGAUGAAUCACGGCCCUACUAUGAACACUGCUAUUAUUGCCAGAAGCAACAGUCGAAACAACAGAAAUGUGGAUUCUGACUUAUUUCUGCAUUCCACAUCAUACAGGAGGGCAUCUGAUUGACACAAGGAUCAGGUCCCCAAGCUAACUUCUGGAGGAAAUCUGAAUGCCUAGAGAGAAUGUUAACUGUCACUGACAUCUGAAAAUACUUUGAGGAGGAGUUGAUAUUUAAGCGAAUCAUGGAAAAAAAAUUUCUAAUGUUUGGCUGCUGUGUGAGGAGUAAGUUCUUCCCAGAGAAAGGAAGCCACUUGAGAAAAGACUGUGUGAAAUACAAGACAUUUUGAGAAGAAAGAAUGACAUGUUGGAGCCCAGGUGAUUUGAUGUUCCUUUUCACUGUCUUUGAGAAAUGAUAAAUGAUGAUUCCAGUGGCAGUAGUACACAUGUGAUUAUGUGUGUGAAUCUGUGUCAUACUAGCUGAGAGUGUACUUGAUCCUACAUAUAGCCAUUUAUACUUCAUUUCAUGUAUAGAUGAAAUAACAAGGCAGCCUACAUUCCUACAGAUACAUGAAUUCCUCUAGCAUUUCCCUACCUGAAUAGGUGGUGUAUA
rnacentral:lncRNA from 1 species